rnacentral:rRNA from 1 species
GCGGACGGGUGAGUAAUGUCUGGGAAACUGCCUGAUGGAGGGGGAUAACUACUGGAAACGGUAGCUAAUACCGCAUAACGUCUUCGGACCAAAGUGGGGGACCUUCGGGCCUCACGCCAUCAGAUGUGCCCAGAUGGGAUUAGCUAGUAGGUGGGGUAAUGGCUCACCUAGGCGACGAUCCCUAGCUGGUCUGAGAGGAUGACCAGCCACACUGGAACUGAGACACGGUCCAGACUCCUACGGGAGGCAGCAGUGGGGAAUAUUGCACAAUGGGCGCAAGCCUGAUGCAGCCAUGCCGCGUGUGUGAAGAAGGCCUUCGGGUUGUAAAGCACUUUCAGCGAGGAGGAAGGGUUCUGUGUUAAUAGCACUGUUC